CAAAACGGUCACCCGGUCCCGGUGCUCUAUCGCGCACUCGUUCGUCCUCGGUCGGCGUGCACACAAAAACCGACCCGUAGCCCGAUAUCUUUCCACCAUUUUGUCAUCCACCCUCCAUUGCUUGUGGCGUAUUAAAUGUCAUUCUAGGCGGUAAGACACGUUCUUUUUUUUUCGAAUACUUUUCAGCGCUCGAGAAAGAACAAUCCUCGGACUAGGGAUUUUCUUUGGUCUUGAAAAGCGACGGCAACCCAUAAAGUUGGGGUUUGGAUGUUUUUUUUCUGUGAGUGUGUGCAAAGAAUUAACUUUUUUCAUAGCUUUGGAUUAGGAAAGAAAAUGGAAAAAAUAAAGCUAUACAUUUCACUGAUUACUCGACUCUGAUAACUAGUGAUAUACCAUUGUCCGUAGCAUGUGUUCGUGUUUCAUCAAGUUCAACUAAUUUUACCGACUCGAUGUCUCAUUUGCAAUUGCAUUAAAUGUUAAUCUAGAAUUUAUUUGAUUUGGUUGCGUUCAAUUAUGGAACCGUAACAAUUGUCCCUUGAUGAGCCUCUGUGGUAAAAAACUGACCACAUAAUGCUGACAGUUACUGUGAAGUCAAUCGAUACAUAAAAUCCCACACAACCUCACUCGCUUUCUUUGAAUAUCCCACCAAACACCUAAUAAGCAAUUUUUCGCCUUCAUUUCAACAAGAUAAAUUGAAACGGUAGCACAUGUAAAUGCAUUAAUGGCGAACUUUGGCGCCCACGACAUUGCAUCUAGCAAAUCAUGUCUAUUGAAAACGGUACGUGUGUGCGUGUUUGUUGCUGGAACCGUAGAGAACAUGUUUAAAACGGUGAUCACACAGAAAAUGUGUGCACCAUGAAUAUGGAAUAUAGCAACAUACACAUAAUUUAUCCAUCAUUCGUUGUCAUGAGUUGGUAAGAAAGGGAGGACCAUCGUCUAUUAAUUGUAAACUAUGAUGUGAAUUGUAAUCAGUUGAAAUAUAAUGCUAAAUAUUUCAAUAUUUUAUGGAAAAAGUGAUAAAUUUUCCUUGAUCUGGAUAAGUCAGGCGAUCAAUAUAAAUAGCUUAUUUUACUUAGCUCCUACAACACACGACUGAACUUUAACGCUCCUUAAAAGCCGCUUAACAGAAAAUUGAAAUUUUAUAAAAAUUUAUGUGGAUUCGAGGUAUAACACGUACAUCACCGGUCUCCUGCACGACAUGACUGAUUUACCUUUUUGGCCUAGCGACCUCUUAGAGUAUACCUGCCAGUUCUGACUAACUAGCAACUAACUGCAACACUAUCCGGAUAGCGUUUAAUCAAAUCGUUUUAAUUUUAUUUGAACUUGAAGAACUAUACUUAUCUACCUAUAAAUAAACUUUCCAAAAAAUACUUUACGGAUAAGUGUAAGCUUGUUAUUUUGUGGAUGAUUGUUUAAUCCUGUACUGUGUCCGGUCAAAAAA